UACGAAGGGGGCUAGCGUUGUUCGGAAUUACUGGGCGUAAAGCGCACGUAGGCGGAUAUUUAAGUCAGGGGUGAAAUCCCGCAGCUCAACUGCGGAACUGCCUUUGAUACUGGGUAUCUAGAGUAUGGAAGAGGUGAGUGGAAUUCCGAGUGUAGAGGUGAAAUUCGUAGAUAUUCGGAGGAACACCAGUGGCGAAGGCGGCUCACUGGUCCAUUACUGACGCUGAGGCGCGAAAGCGUGGGGAGCAAACAGG
rnacentral:rRNA from 1 species